rnacentral:tRNA from 1 species
CAUCACAAAAUGACUGAAAG